rnacentral:rRNA from 1 species
UUGGAGGGCAAGUCUGGUGCCAGCAGCCGCGGUAAUUCCAGCUCCAAUAGCGUAUAUUAAAGUUGUUGCAGUUAAAAAGCUCGUAGUUGAAUUUCGGGAUCAGAGUGUCGGUCGUGCCUCGGUACGCACUGGUAUUAUUGGUUCCUACCUUCUGAAGAACCGCGAUGUCAUUAAUUUGGUGUCGUGGGGAAUCAGGACUGUUACUCUGAAAAAAUUAGAGUGUUUAAAGCAGGCUUACGCUUGAAUACAUUAGCAUGGAAUAAUGAAAUGGGACGUUUGAUUCUAUUUUGUUGGUUUCUAGGAUUGACGUAAUGAUUAAUAGGGAUAGUUGGGGGCAUUAGUAUUCAAUUGUCAGAGGUGAAAUUCUUGGAUUUAUUGAAGACUAACUACUGCGAAAGCAUUUGCCAAGGAUGUUUUCAUUAAUCAAGAACGAAAGUUAGGGGAUCGAAGACGAUCAGAUACCGUCGUAGUCUUAACCAAAAACUAUGCCGACUAGGGAUCGGAUGAUGUUAAUUUUUUAAUGACUCAUUCGGCGCCUUACGGGAAACCAAAGUGUUUGGGUUC